AAGGGGGUAGAAUCCUUUAUUUUCUCUUUUUAUUUUCUCACAAAUUUCCUUGGAAAGGCUAUUUGAAGAAUAGGAUUAGAGACCCUAGUAUUGAGUCUUAUUUAUUUUGUGACUUCAUAGUAUAAACUAAAAAAAUUUGGCAGCCGAUGAUUCUCCCCCGGGGGAGCGUGUGGCGUAAGAGAUGGUCCACUCAUAUCUUUACCACCCUUAGUAUGGGUUAGUGUACGUCCGGUUUAAUACCUCUGAUUAUUGUCUUUAGGUGAAUUUCGGUUAAUUUAGGCCAG
rnacentral:rRNA from 1 species